UUGGUAGGCGUACGGUGGAUGCCUGGGCACCAGAUGCUGAUGAAGGACGUGGGAGGCCGCGAUAGGCCUGGGGGAGUUGUCAACCGAGCUGUGAUCCCAGGGUGUCCGAAUGGGGUAACCUGGCCGGGGUGAUGCCCGGUCACCGGUGUCUGAAGAGAUUAGGGCGCCGGGGGGCACGUGGGGAACUGAAACAUCUCAGUACCCGCAGGAAGAGAAAACAAGAUGUGAUUCCCUGAGUAGUGGUGAGCGAACGGGGAGGAUGGCUAAACCGUCUGCGUGUCAAGCCGGUGGGUGUUGCGUGGGCGGGGUUGUGGGAGCGCCUGGUCAUUACCACCGUGGUGGCGCUGGGUGUGUGGUGUUAGCUGAAGGUGUUGGAAGGCACUGGCGGAGUGGGUGAGACCCCCGUAGGUGAAGGCACUGCACAGUCUGGUGGGGCGUGGUCCCGAGUAGCGCGGGACUCGUGUAAUCUCGUGUGAAUCGGCCAGGACCGCCUGGUAAGCCUGAAUACGUCUGGUGACCGAUAGUGGAUGUGUACCGUGAGGGACUGGUGAAAAGUACCCCGGGAGGGGAGUGAAAGAGUUCCUGAAACCGUGCGCUGUUAAACCGUCAGAGCAUGCCCUGGUGGUGUGUGAUGGCGUGCCUUUUGAAGAAUGAGCCUGCGAGUUAGUGGUGCGUGGCGAGGUUAACCCGUGUGGGGGAGCCGGAGCGAAAGCGAGUCUGAAUAGGGCGAGUGUAGUCGCGUGCUCUAGACCCGAAACCGAGUGAGCUACCCGUGGCCAGGGUGAAGCGCGGGUAAGACCGUGUGGAGGCCCGAACCCACCAGGGUUGAAAACCUGGGGGAUGAGCUGUGGGUAGGGGUGAAAGGCCAAUCAAACUCGGAGAUAGCUGGUUCUCCCCGAAAUGCAUUUAGGUGCAGCGUCGCGUGGUGCUUGGUGCAGGUAGAGCGACUGGAUGGCUGAUGGCCCCGGUGGGGGUACUGACGUCAACUAAACUCCGAAUGGCAUCAACGUUAGCAGCGUGGCAGUGAGUCCGUGGGGGAGAAGCUCCAUGGUCGAGAGGGAAACAGCCCAGAUCACCGGCUAAGGCCCCCAAGUGUGUGCUGAGUGGAAAAGGAUGUGGGAUUGCCGAGACAACCAGGAGGUUGGCUUAGAAGCAGCCAUCCUUGAAAGAGUGCGUAACAGCUCACUGGUCAAGUGAUCCUGCGCCGAUAAUGUAGCGGGGCUUGUAAGUACACCGCCGAAGCCGUGACACAGCAGCCUGGUGGUUGUUGUGGGUAGGGGAGCGUCCCGCACGCCAGUGAAGCCGCGGUGUAAACCUGUGGUGGAGGGUGUGGGAGUGAGAAUGCAGGCAUGAGUAGUGCAUGGGCAGUGAGAAUCUGUCCCGCCGGAAGACCAAGGGUUCCAGGGCCAGGUUGUUCCGCCCUGGGUGAGUCGGAUCCUAAGGCGAGGCCGUCAGGCGUAGUCGACAGGACAACGGGUUGAUAUUCCCGUACCCGCGUGGCACCGCCCCAUACCAGCCCCCAUGCUUUCUUCGCCAGCCUGUGGCCGGUGGUGUCUGGAUUCGUUCCGGCUGGUGGCCGCUGGUGGUGUUGACUGGUGGGUGUGCUGGGCAGCGAGGGGGUGACGCAGGAGGGUAGCCCAUCCCGGGCGAUGGUUGUCCCGGGGUAACGGUGUAGCACGCAGGCCUAGGCAAAUCCGGGCCUGUGGAUGUGUGAGACCGGAUGCCGAGCCGGUGUGGCGAAGUGGGUGAUCCCCGGCUGCCGAGAAAAGCCUCUAGCGAGGGGCCGCGUGGUCCGUACCCGAAACCGACACAGGUGGUCUGGUAGAGCAUACCGAGGCGAGCGGGGUAACCGUGGUUAAGGAAUUCGGCAAAUUGUCCCCGUAACUUCGGGAGAAGGGGAGCCGCGCCUGGUGAUCCCCCAUUGGCGGGGUGAGCUGGGGGUGGCCGCAGAGUCUGGGCCCAAGCGACUGUUUACUAAAAACACAGGUCCGUGCGAAGUCGUAAGACGCGGUAUACGGACUGACGCCUGCCCGGUGCCGGAACGUUAAGGGGAGUGGUGAACCCGGAAGGGUGAGGCUGCGAACCGAAGCGCCGGUAAACGGCGGUGGUAACUAUAACCAUCCUAAGGUAGCGAAAUUCCUUGUCGGGUAAGUUCCGACCUGCACGAAUGGCGUAACGACUUGGGCGCUGUCUCGACCACGGGCCCGACGAAAUUGCAGGACGAGUUAAGAUGCUCGUUUCGCGCGGCAGGACGGAAAGACCCCGGGACCUUUACUACAGCUUGGUAUGGGCGUCUGGUUCGGCUUGUGUAGGAUAGGUGGGAAACGGUGAACC
rnacentral:rRNA from 1 species